rnacentral:rRNA from 1 species
AAAUCCGGUUGAUCCUGCCGGAGGCUACCGCUAUUGGAGUUCGAUUAAGCCAUGCGAGUCGAGAGUCUUAGGGACUCGGCGUACCGCUCAGUAACACGUGGGUAACCUGCCCUAUGCUGGGGAAUAACCUCGGGAAACUGAGAAUAAUGCCCCAUAGUUCACUACGCCUGGAACGGUGAGUGGAUGAAAGCUCCGGCGGCAUAGGAUGGGCCUGCGGCGUAUCAGGUCGUAGGGGGUGUAACGUACCCUCUAGCCAUCGACGCGUACGGGUGUUGGGAGACAUAGCCCGGAGAUGGAUUCUGAGACACGAAUCCAGACCCUACGGGGUGCAGCAGGCGCGAAAACUUGGCAAUGCGAGAAAUCGUGACCAGGGAACUCCAAGUGGCUGGGGUAAGACCCAGUCUUUUCUUGACUCUUCAAAGGUCUUGGAAUAAGAGGUGGGUAAGGACGGUGCCAGCCGCCGCGGUAAUACCGGCGCCUCAAGUGGUAGUCGAUUUUAUUGGGCCUAAAACGUCCGUAGCCUGUUUGGUACAUUCGUGGGUAAAUCAACCAGCUCAACUGGUUGAAUUCUGCGAGCACGGCCAGACUUGGGACCGGGAGAGGUGUGGGGUACGCUCAGGGUAGGGGUAAAAUCCUGUCAUCCUGAGCGGACCACCUGUUGCGAAGGCGCCACACUAGAACGGAUCCGACGGUCAGGGACGAAGCCUAGGGGCACGAACCGGAUUAGAUACCCGGG